GAACAAGCUGUUAACAACUUAUAACGAGCUUGAUGGCAUUAUCAACCUUGUUACAAGACUGUGCCAACAAGUUUGUUACAGCCAUGAUAUGACAAGGAUGUUACAAGGUUGUCAACACAAGGCUAUAACAAUCUUGUUAUAUCAAGCAUGUAACGGACUUGUCAGAACAACCUUGCAACAUGUCUAGUAAUUACGACAAGGUUGUUACAAGUUGUUAACAAGUUGUCC